rnacentral:rRNA from 1 species
AUCACAUCCUGGGGCUGAAGUAGGUCCCAAGGGUAUGGCUGUUCGCCAUUUAAAGUGGUACGCGAGCUGGGUUUAGAACGUCGUGAGACAGUUCGGUCCCUAUCUGCCGUGGGCGCUGGAGAACUGAGGGGGGCUGCUCCUAGUACGAGAGGACCGGAGUGGACGCAUCACUGGUGUUCGGGUUGUCAUGCCAAUGGCACUGCCCGGUAGCUAAAUGCGGAAGAGAUAAGUGCUGAAAGCAUCUAAGCACGAAACUUGCCCCGAGAUGAGUUCUCCCUGACUCCUUGAGAGUCCUGAAGGAACGUUGAAGACGACGACGUUGAUAGGCCGGGUGUGUAAGCGCAGCGAUGCGUUGAGCUAACCGGUACUAAUGAACCGUGAGG